CCUACGGGUGGCUGCAGUGGGGAAUAUUGCACAAUGGGCGCAAGCCUGAUGCAGCCAUGCCGCGUGUGUGAAGAAGGCCUUCGGGUUGUAAAGCACUUUCAGCGGGGAGGAAGGCGUUAAGGUUAAUAACCUUGUCGAUUGACGUUACCCGCAGAAGAAGCACCGGCUAACUCCGUGCCAGCAGCCGCGGUAAUACGGAGGGUGCAAGCGUUAAUCGGAAUUACUGGGCGUAAAGCGCACGCAGGCGGUCGGUCAAGUCGGAUGUGAAAUCCCCGGGCUCAACCUGGGAACUGCAUUCGAAACUGGCAGGCUAGAGUCUUGUAGAGGGGGGUAGAAUUCCAGGUGUAGCGGUGAAAUGCGUAGAGAUCUGGAGGAAUACCGGUGGCGAAGGCGGCCCCCUGGACAAAGACUGACGCUCAGGUGCGAAAGCGUGGGGAGCAAACAGGAUUAGAUACCCGGGUAGUC
rnacentral:rRNA from 1 species